rnacentral:rRNA from 1 species
UACGUAGGGUGCAAGCGUUAAUCGGAAUUACUGGGCGUAAAGCGCGCGCAGGCGGUGAUGUAAGACAGUUGUGAAAUCCCCGGGCUCAACCUGGGAACUGCAUCUGUGACUGCAUCGCUGGAGUGCGGCAGAGGGGGAUGGAAUUCCGCGUGUAGCAGUGAAAUGCGUAGAUAUGCGGAGGAACACCGAUGGCGAAGGCAAUCCCCUGGGCCUGCACUGACGCUCAUGCACGAAAGCGUGGGGAGCAAACAGG